AAACCAACCGGGAUUGCCUCAGUAACGGCGAGUGAAGCGGCAAAAGCUCAAAUUUGAAAUCUGGCACUUUCAGUGUCCGAGUUGUAAUUUGUAGAGGGCAACUUUGGGGCCGUUCCUUGUCUAUGUUCCUUGGAACAGGACGUCAUAGAGGGUGAGAAUCCCGUGUGGCGAGGAGUGCGGUUCUUUGUAAAGUGCCUUCGAAGAGUCGAGUUGUUUGGGAAUGCAGCUCUAAGUGGGUGGUAAAUUCCAUCUAAAGCUAAAUAUUGGCGAGAGACCGAUAGCGAACAAGUACAGUGAUGGAAAGAUGAAAAGAACUUUGAAAAGAGAGUGAAAAAGUACGUGAAAUUGUUGAAAGGGAAGGGCAUUUGAUCAGACAUGGUGUUUUUGCAUGCACUCGCCUCUCGUGGGCUUGGGCCUCUCAAAAAUUUCACUGGGCCAACAUCAAUUCUGGCAGCAGGAUAAAUCAUUAGAAUGUAGCUACUUCGGUAGUGUUAUAGCUUUUUGGAAUA
rnacentral:rRNA from 1 species